rnacentral:tRNA from 1 species
GGCCCCAUGGCCGAGUGGUUAAAGUUCCACGUAUCCCGCUUUGGCGGCCCAGGUUCAGUUCCUGGUGGGCCUA